rnacentral:rRNA from 1 species
CGGCGACGUAGGCGGGUUUUUGUAAGUCUGAUGUGAAAUCCCCGGGCUCAACCUGGGAAUUGCAUUGGAGACUGCAAGGCUAGAAUCUGGCAGAGGGGGGUAGAAUUCCACGUGUAGCAGUGAAAUGCGUAGAUAUGUGGAGGAACACCGAUGGCGAAGGCAGCCCCCUGGGUCAAGAUUGACGCUCAUGCACGAAAGCGUGGGGAGCAAACAGGAUUAGAUACCCCGGU